UACAACCACCGAUACAGAUGUAUGAACACACAGAGGACAACAAAUAACAUUACAGAGGUGAGGACAUGCCAUAGCUAGCUAGCUAUAUAGUUAGCCAAGUUUUACUCAUGACACUUUUAGGAUAUGACUAAUCCCUGGAACAUAAUCACUACUUACUGAUCCCCGGCUGUAUAUGUAACGCCACGGUGCGCCGUGGGUCUGGAUGUUUUCGUGCUUCUUCUGAGCUAUGCGCCCUCAUUGAAAUGCAUUGAGGCUUGAGGACAGUGCCAGUUAGAAUUUGAAGCAAGCCCACAAUUCCUUCAGGAAUUGUAACCUUUCUAGUUCUUCAUGGAAUGUUUAGCUAUUUCUGACAUAAUGUGGUUGAAGAGAGUAAAUAAUUCCUCUAAACACAAAAAGCACCUAAUUAAGAAAAAUGUACAACUUGUUAUAAUUCUGGAAUUGCAUUUGUGGUUGGAAAGAAAACCAGCAUACACAGGGGUGCUCCAGGACUGAGAUUGGGACCCACUGAACUACAGGAUAGCUGUGACAUGUAGGGAAUGUUUACACAGAUUGUAGGCUGCAUGUUCAUAUUGGUGAAUUCUGCAAAGUGAAUUCUUCAGAUGCCUUACUGAUGACUUUUGUGAAUGAGAUGUGUAAAAAAAAAAAUUAUAUUUUGUAUUUAAAUUCAGACGUUGCUGAUUUUUUUGCAUCUCAGCAGUUUUUCAGUUAUGUCUUGUAUUGAUCUGUGUAUGUACAGUCAUUGUACGUUUGUAAUUUAAUUUGCCUUUGUGGUGGCCUGAUUCGGUCAGUGAAAAUAUUUCACAUCAAAUAAUAAUCAAAGGCUUUUGUUCUGCAUUGAUUUAACCUUACAAUGUUUGUAACAUUAAGGCUCCUCUGUGUUCUUGUAGUGUGCCUAUUUAUGUUUAAGAUAUAUAUGUAUAUAUUAUUUGUUUACUUGUAUCUAUGUAUUGUAUAUUUAUGGUUCUCAGUUAUGUUUCUUCAGCACACAUUAACAUGCAGUGUCUAUAGUUCCCUAAAAUGAUUCAAACACAAUAUUUUCAAACCCUUUUGAAGUUACUCAUUGCAGUAACAGUUGUAAACCAUUUUCGUUGCCUAAUAUUAUGGCCGGUCAAGAUUUUCUCUCUGCAUUCAAGAAUUUAUGUUCCAAGUGGAAUUCCAGAAUGUUUCAUUUGUCAAAACUAGCACAUUUAGUAGUAGCUGAUGAUAUAGGGAUAUUUGUUCUUUGUCUUAAUGGAACUGGACAAGUCACUUCUGAAAGGUACAGGUUUUCACCAAUACAUUCACCUGCUGUAAAUGGCAUACAGUAUGCUGCUGGUGAACAUGUAAAUUUCUAGUCUUACUUUGGAAGACAUGUUUAUAUACUACUGUAUGGAACACAACAAGACCCCCUAUCUACAAUUUGUUUGGAAUGUUCCAUUUUUCUUAGUCGUAAUUUCUCUUUUUGGUCAUGUUUUCUUUUCUGUUUCGUCAUGUCUGGUUUUGGACUUGGAAAUAAAGUGCCAUUUUAUUGUUGCUACAAGUAAGCUGUCUUGCAAUGUUUGUGUAUUGCCAAGUGCCAGGUCUGUUGCAUAAUUGUAAGUAGCCUAGAAGCAAGAGUUCAGCUUCUUUAUUGCUAUGGCUAGAUGGUCAUCUCUCCCCUUUGGUUAUGCAAAGUCAUGUGAUUGUUGGUCCUCCUUUAUCAUUUUGCUGCUUUUAUUUGUUUGAUUUUGAGUUACCACUAGAGGGUGUAUUGCACUUUGCUAUGUUUGUUGAUGCUGACAGAACUUAUGUGAAUUUGCUUUCUGGUCAUUCUGGGUUUUUUGUUUUUUGUUGUUGUUGUCAUAUUUAGUAGGAUUCUCUGUUCGUGAUCAAUAUCUGUGUGAAAAGUCUUGGUAAGUCUCUGAGUUUAGAAACUUGCAUUCCAGGGUAGAUAAAUAUGAAUGGAUAUCACAUUAUCCCGUCUUUUGAACACAGACUUCCUCAUUAGGUAAGUUAUAUUCUGGAAGUUCUCAUUUUCUAUCCCUAUUGAAGCAGGCUGUUCUGACAUGGCUGUGGAUUUUUUUCCAGGACACAAGGGCCUGUACUUCCCUUUGCUGUUGGAAAGGCAUUAAAACACAUUUUAUCUGCAAGUCCUGGGUGCCGGCAAGACUGCUGCUCUACUACAAUGGCCACCAAGGGGCGCCAAAGGGCAGAAGCAUUGUGGAGCUCAAACCACUUCUUCCUCUAUUCCCCCAGUGCCUGAAAGAGCACUCAUCAGAGAUCAGUGGAGUUUGGGAGGGGCGAGCUGUUUUAGCACUCUCUAGGGGAGGCUGCGAUGUCGUCCCUUUCCCAAAGAGGGCGUCACAGCCCGGCUGCGAAGUGGGGGGCAGAGGGCCAGCCGUGUGCAGAGACGGAGCACCUGAAAGUUCCGCUGGGGCGCAUUGAUGUUGAUCUGCUCCAGGCCAGGCUGGUCUGCGCUGGCCCGAGCCAGGCCCGUCGCAGCCCAGCAGCCCCUACCUUCACUCCCAGAACUCUCAGGGUGGAAAGAGAGCGCCCCCUUCAGGUGGAGAUCCUGCCUGCUCUGAAGAAGAACCAGGAGCAGCGGCGGCCCGAGUACAUCCACAGGAAGAACCGGGAAAGGCUGCUGAGCAUGGGCUGGAAGCCCCCCUCCGCCUCUUGGCCUGUGGAGAAGCGGCCGUCCACAGUGCACCUGCCCGAGCUCCCGGACCACGUGAAGGAAAAGCAGGUGCAGCUGAGCGGGCUGCAUUCCCCCUCUCCGCCGAAAAAAAGGCCUCGCUCCAGGUCCUCGGCCGGCGCGACCCCGAGCCCGGCCCCCGGCGAGCCCGCGCCCAGCCCUCUGGUGUUCUCCACAGCGGAGCAGGCCAUCAGGGCGCACGUCAGCGGGCCCCUGGACAUCAUCCGCACCGUCCGCAACAACCCCCGCAUCGGCUUCUUCUACCUGAGCUCGGACGUGCCCGUCUCCUCCCCCAAAUACGACGCCUUCAACCUCAAGAUCGUGGGCUACGAGAGCAUCAACAAGGCGGACUACUACACCAUCAGCCUGACGGGCGUGACGCACAUCUGCCACGGCGAGGCGGAGCUGCUGACGCUGGAGCGCUGGCAGCACGAGUACCAGUGCCACCGGCGGCUCCAGUGCAUCCCGCUCUUCGCCCGCUUCCGCCGCUGGAAGGCCUUCCGCGUGUGGCGCACCAACGUGCGCACCAAGAGCAUGAGCAAGUGCAAGCAGCUGCUCCAGCGCAACCUGUUCGUCGUCAACCAGUCUCUGCGGCCGGCGCUGAUCGACGUCCGUGAGAUGUGCUACCGGAUCAGUGACAUGGGGCUGUGCCGCAUUGAGGUGGGGCACACCUACACUCUGGAGGAGUUCAGGCAGGCGCAGUACCAGCAGCUGCAAGAGGUGUCUGCUCGCUUGAAGGAGUUCAGGGAGCUGGUGAAGGAGGUGGUGAGGAGCGCCUGUCGCACUGCUCUGCUGGAGGCAGGCUUCAUCCCAGACUCCUGCACUUAUGACUCUGAGGCCCCAGGGGACGAGCAGGAGAUGGAGCUGCUGUACAAGGAAGCGCCCGAGAAGAUGGGCUACACCGAGCAAGCCAUCAAGAGGAACCACUGCAAGAGGCUGACCUGCUUCAUCCGGCUUGCUGACUUCAUGAUUGUGAACACGAUGCACAUCCUGGUUGUGAACUCCAUCAGCACACUGCUCAACGUCCUGAAUGAUCAGGUCCAGUGCACCCCUUCAAAGGAGGUCAUCCAGUGCUGGGACGUCCCGGAGGAAAACUCAGAGAAGAAGAGCGCCAGUGCUGCCCCGUCCAUGUUCGUGACACAGCUGAUGCUGGACACCUACGCCCUCUCAUACGAGCCGUCAUUGGACCAAUUUCAGACCUGCAUUGCUGAAAUCAUCCAGUGCUUCCAGGACACGGUGCUGGGUCUAGACCCCUUAGUGCCCGACGCCUUCUUCCACGCCUUCACCCAGCCAAUAAUAUACAACAAGGUGGAGGAGAAGACGUGUGGCGAUGGGCCCAGCAUGGAGGCGAUCCUGGAGGAAGACAAGCACCUGCACACCAUCAUCCAGAACAUAACGGAAGUCCUGGAGUUUGCUUUUGAUGCAGCGGACAUGUACGCCGAGACCUUCGAGAGAUUCCGCAUCUACUACAAGGAGAACGAGAGCCUGGAUCUCUACAGUCUCAGAGAGCAGGAGCACGAUGUGGCCUUCUUUGGGGAGCAGCUGGAGAGGUACCACUGUGAGCACAAAGAGGCCCUGGCCAUUAUACAGAAGAGGCAGAUUGGCCUGCUGCUCAUCGACUCCACUCAGCUGAAGGCCAAGCUCAUCCCAUCCCCAUUACGCUGCUUAGAGACCAUCAAUGACAUGCUGCCAACUUUGGCCAAGAAGAUGAUGGAUGACAUCAUUGCCGAAGCCCAGAAGGCUCGGUAUAAACUGGUUUCCACCCCCUCGGCAACCGCAGAGUUCGUCCAGUCCUUGGAUUUCCUGGAGGAGAUCACAGAUCGGAUUGAGGUACUGGACAAGCAGACGGAGACGGUGUCGCAGAUGUUCGAGCUGAUCGAGCACUACCACGUCCCCACGCCGCCCGAGGACAUGGCCACCUACGCCACCCUGAGGCCGUCCAUCACGCGCGUGCGCAACGCCAUCGACAAGGCCGUGGGCGAGAAGGACGGCAACAUCAACAAGUUCUGCCAGCACCUGCAGCAGGACAUCACAGAGCUCAACAAGGAAGUGAAGAGGGUCAAGGAGCAGGCACAGAACAGGCUGAUCUUGGACAUCGGUGCGGAGAGGGAGAAGGUGAAGACGCUGCUGCAGGGGAUCCAGGUCUCCAUCAACGACCUGCAAGCUCAGGCCCUCCAGUUCAAGACUUACCAGAAGAACUUCAAGGUGGAGGUGACGAAGUACGAAGCUCUGGAGGAGCUGAGCGCGGAGGUGAAGCUGAAGCAGCUCCUCUGGGACUCCAUGGAGGAGUGGGAGAGCUUGCAGGCAGGCUGGAUGGAGAGCAUGUUUGAGGAGCUGGAUCCGGAGGACCUGAACGCCCAGGUGAUGAGGUUUGUGAAGUGCGUGACGCAGCUGGAGAAGGGCCUGCCGCCCAACAGUGUGGUGCCCAAGCUGAAGGAGCAGGUGGAGAGCAUGAGAGCCAAGCUGCCAGUAAUCUCUGACCUGAGGAACCCGGCCCUGAAGCCUCGGCACUGGGACAUGCUGGAGCGGGUGGUCAAUGCCAGCCUGGUGGAGGAGCCCCUCACGCUGGCCGCCCUGCAGGAGCUCAACAUCUUCAGCUUCGACGCAGAGAUCCAGGAAGUGUCUGGCCAAGCUUCGGGAGAGGCGUCGCUGGAGUCCAUCCUGAAAAAGGUGGAGGACUCAUGGAAGACCACAGAGUUUGUGGUGCUCUCCCAUCGGGAGUCCAAGGACGUGUUCAUCCUCGGGGGCACGGACGAGAUUCAGGUCCUCCUGGACGACAGCACCAUCAACGUGUCGACCGUGGCGUCCUCGCGCUACGUGGGUCCCAUCAAGUCUCGAGUGUCCGACUGGCAGAAGCAGCUGGGCCUCUUCAAUCACACUCUGGACGAGUGGCUGACGUGCCAGCGGAACUGGCUCUACCUGGAGAGCAUCUUCAGCGCCCCGGACAUCCAGAGGCAGCUGCCGGCCGAGGCCAAAAUGUUCCUGCAGGUGGACAAGUCCUGGAAGGAGAUCAUGAGGAAGGUGCACCGCCUGCCCAACGCCCUGCGGGCCGCCACUAAGCCAGGUCUGUUGGAAGUCUUCCAGAACAACAAUGCUUUAUUGGACCAGAUACAGAAAUGCCUAGAGGCGUAUUUGGAGUCCAAGAGGGUCAUCUUUCCCAGGUUCUACUUCCUGUCAAACGACGAGCUGCUGGAGAUCCUGGCCCAGACCCGGAACCCGCAGGCCGUGCAGCCUCACCUGCGCAAGUGCUUUGACGCCAUCGCCCGCCUGGAGUUCGCCCUGCUGCCCCCCCAGCCCGCCGGCCCCCAGGGGGCCCCCCCUGAGGGAGAGGCAGAGAAGGUCUACAGCAACGACAUCCUGGCCAUGGUGUCCCCCGAGGCCGAGAGGGUGGGCCUGGGGAAAGGCCUGAAGGCUCGUGGGAAUGUGGAGGACUGGCUGGGCAAGGUGGAGGAAGCCAUGUUCUCCUCCCUGAGACGUCUCACCAAGGCCUCCAUUGCCGACUACCAGAACAAGCCCAGGGUGGAGUGGGUGGUGGCGGGUCACCCUUCCCAGGUCGUGCUCACUGUUUCCCAGCUGAUGUGGUGCCGCGACAUGGACAACUGUCUGGAAGGAGACCACGACCACUUUGAAGCGUUGCAGGAAUUUGAAGUCAUCAAUGUUGAGAGACUGAACAACCUGGCUGCGCUGGUGCGCGGGCAACUUCCCAGCCUGCACCGCAACAUCAUCACCGCGCUCAUCACCGUGGACGUGCACGCCCGCGACAUCGUCACCGACCUCGUCAAGCAGAAGGUGGAUUCAGGCAGUAACUUUGAGUGGCAGAGACAGCUGCGGUAUUACUGGGACAUGGAUUUGGACAACUGUGUGGCCAGGAUGGCACUGUCCCAGUACAUCUACGGCUAUGAGUACCUGGGCGCCUGUCCCAGACUUGUCAUCACGCCCCUCACUGACCGCUGCUACCUGUGCCUCAUGGGGGCGCUGCAGCUGGACCUGGGGGGAGCCCCUGCCGGGCCGGCAGGAACGGGCAAGACCGAGACCACCAAGGAUCUGGCCAAGGCGCUGGCCAUUCAGUGCGUGGUCUUCAACUGCUCCGACGGGCUGGACUACAAGAUGAUGGGUCGGUUCUUCAGUGGUCUGGCUCAGUCGGGGGCGUGGUGCUGCUUUGACGAGUUCAACCGCAUUGAUAUCGAGGUGCUGUCCGUCAUCGCCCAGCAGCUCAUCACCAUCCGCAACGCCAAGGCCGCCAAGAUGAGCAGGUUCAUGUUCGAGGGCCAGGAGAUAAAGCUGGUCAUGACCUGCGCUGCCUUCAUCACCAUGAACCCCGGAUACGCCGGCCGCACCGAGCUGCCCGACAACCUGAAGGCCCUUUUCAGGCCCAUCGCCAUGAUGGUGCCCAACUACGCCCUGAUCGCUGAGGUCAUCCUGUACUCAGAGGGCUUUGAGUCCAGUAAGACUCUGGCCCGGAAGAUGACCCAAAUGUACAAGCUGUGCAGCGAGCAGCUCUCCCAGCAGGACCACUAUGACUUUGGCAUGCGGGCCGUUAAGUCUGUGCUCGUCAUGGCUGGGUCCCUGAAGAGAGAGAACCCACACCUGUCUGAAGACGUGGUCCUCAUCCGUGCGCUGCGAGACUCAAACCUGCCCAAGUUCCUUACAGACGACGCUGUCCUCUUUGGGGGCAUCCUGUCGGACCUGUUCCCGGGCGUCUCCAUCCCGGAGCACGACUACGGCGUCCUGCAGUCCACCAUCGAGGAGGCGCUGGUGAAGCGGCGCCUGCAGCCGCUGCCCAGCAUCACGCACAAGGUGAUCCAGCUGUACGAGACCAUGAUCGUGCGCCACGGCGUCAUGCUGGUGGGCCCCACGGGCGGCGGCAAGACCACCGUCUACACCGUCCUGGCCGACGCCCUGGAGGAGCUGCACCGCCUGGGCCACCAGAACCCCUUCUACCAGCCGGUCAAGACCUACGUGCUCAACCCCAAGUCGGUGACCAUGGGCGAGCUGUACGGCGAGGAGAACCCGCUGACCAUGGAGUGGCGGGACGGCCUGAUGGCGCUGAGCGUGCGCGCGGGCGUCAACGACACCACCGACGACCACAAGUGGGUGGUCAGCGACGGGCCCGUGGACGCCCUGUGGAUCGAGAACAUGAACACCGUGCUGGACGACAACAAGAUGCUGUGUCUGGCCAACAGCGAGAGGAUCAAGCUCACUCCCUCCAUCCACAUGGUGUUUGAGGUCCAGGAUUUGGCAGUUGCUUCUCCAGCCACGGUCAGUCGUUGUGGGAUGGUCUAUAUCGACUCCAGUGAACUCAAGUGGAUGCCGUAUGUUCAGACCUGGAUCAAGGGAUUGCCAGAGAAUCUGACCGAGGACAUGCAGACCUACCUGCUGGGCCUGUUUGAGCGGUACGUGGAGGCAGGCCUGAAGUUUGUGAGUAAGAACUGCGUCCAGGCCAUGGGGCAGGUGGACAUCAGCAAGGUGACCACCCUGUGCUGCCUGCUGGAGGCUCUGCUGCUAGGCCCAGGAGGACCUAACCUCAGACUGGGUCUGAAUAAGCUGAACAGUGUCCUGUGCCAGACCUUUGUGUUCUGCUAUCUGUGGGCAGUGGGCGGGAACCUGACUGACAGUUGCUGGGAUGAUUUUGACAACUUCAUCAGGCAGCAGUUUGAGGACAACAACGACGCCAUGCUGCCCAGCACAGGGGACCUGUGGAGUGUGUACAUGGACUUCUCUCUCAACCGCCUGGAGCCCUGGGAGAAGGUGAUCCCCUCCUUCCAGUACAACAGCGAGAUUCCCUUUUUCGAGAUGCUGGUGCCCACCACGGACACGGUGCGCUACGGCUACCUGAUGGAGAAGCUGCUGUCCGUGCGUCACUCCGUCCUCUUCACCGGGCUCACCGGCGUGGGGAAGUCAGUAGUGGCUCGUGGACUGCUGAACAGAAUCCAGGAGAAGGCCGGGUACAUCCCCAUCUACAUCAACUUCUCCGCCCAGACCUCCUCCGCUCGGACACAGGAGAUGAUCGAGUCCAAGCUGGAGAAGAAGAGGAAGAACGUGCUGGGGGCGCCCACCGGGAAGAAACUGGUGGUGUUCGUGGACGACCUCAACAUGCCCAAACUGGACAGCUACGGCUCCCAGCCUCCCAUAGAGCUCCUGCGGCAGUUCCAGGACUUCCGCGGCUUCUACGACAGGGAGAAGUUCUACUGGAAGGCCAUUCAGGAUAUGACGAUCGCCGCAGCCUGUGCCCCCCCGGGCGGCGGCCGCAACCCCGUCACGCCGCGCUUCCUGCGCCACUUCAGCAUGCUGUGCCUGCCCACGCCCUCCGAGCACAGCCUCAAGCAGAUCUUCAAGGCCAUCCUGUGCGGGUUCCUGGCGGACUUCCCUGUGGCGGUGAAGCAGACGGCGGACAACAUCGUGGAGGCGGCGGUGGAGAUGUACCACCGCAUGAGCGUGGACCUGCUGCCCACGCCCGCCAAGUCCCACUACGUCUUCAACCUGCGGGACCUCUCCAAGUGUGUGCAGGGGAUGCUGCAGUGUGACUCCAGCAGUGUGCGGGACCAGACCCAGAUCUUCCGCCUCUUCUGUCACGAGUGCCAGAGGGUUUUCCACGACCGGCUCAUCAACAACGAAGACAAGACCUACUUCAACACCAUGGUCGCAGAGAUGGCCAGCAAACAUUUUGGGAUUAACCUGGAGCCCAGUUACUUUGUGACCCAGCCCAUCAUCUUUGGGGAUUUCAUUAAGAUGGGGCAAGACAUGGCAGACCGCGUAUAUGAAGACCUGAAGGACAUAGAGAAGAUUCGCUCUGUUCUGCAGGAGUACUUAGACGAUUACAACAUGACGAACUCCAAGGAGACCAAGCUGGUGUUUUUCCAAGAUGCCAUUGAGCAUGUCUCAAGGAUCGCCCGCAUGAUUCGCCAGGAGCGGGGCAACGCCCUGCUGGUGGGCGUGGGCGGCACGGGCAAGCAGUCCCUGACCCGGCUGGCGGCCCACAUGUGCGGCUACCGCUGCUUCCAGAUCGAGCUCUGCCGCGGCUACAACUACGUCAGCUUCCACGAGGACCUGCGCAAGCUGUGCAAGAUGGCCGGCGUGGAGGGCAAGGACACCGUCUUCCUCUUCACCGACACCCAGAUUGUAGUGGAAGAGUUCUUGGAGGACAUAAACAACAUGCUGAACUCAGGGGAGGUGCCCAACCUUUUUGAGAAGGACGAGCUGGAGCAGGUGCUGGCAGCCACCCGUCCCAAAGCCAAGGAAGCUGGCAUCGCCGAGGGCAACCGCGAUGAGGUGUUCCAGUUCUUCAUCUCUCGCGUGCGUGAGAAGCUGCACAUCGUGCUGUGCAUGAGCCCCGUGGGAGACGCCUUCAGAGCUCGCUGCAGAAUGUUCCCCUCGCUGGUCAACUGCUGCACCAUCGACUGGUUCGUCCAGUGGCCCCGGGAGGCCCUGCACUCGGUCUCCCAGUUCUUCUUCCAGAACGUGGAGCUGGGGAGCGAGGAGAUGAAGGAGCGCUUCUCGGAGAUGUGCGUGGAGAUCCACGUGAGCGUUGAAGAGCUGGCCGAGCGGUUCUACUCGGAGCUGCGGCGUCGCUACUACACCACGCCCACCUCCUACCUGGAGCUCAUCAACCUCUACCUGUCCAUGCUGGAGGGCAAGAGGCAGGAGCUGGUGGCGGCCCGUGACCGUGUGAAGAAUGGGCUGACCAAACUCCUGGAGACCAAUGAGCUUGUGGACAAGAUGAAGGUGGAUCUGUCAGCCCUGGAGCCUGUCCUCAAACAGAAGUCCAUCGACGUCAACGCUCUGAUGGCCAAACUGGCUGUGGACCAAGAGAAGGCAGAUCAGGUCCGCAGCGUGGUCAAGGACGACGAGGCUUUGGCCAAGGUGAAGGCAGAGGACACCCAGGCCAUCGCGGACGAUGCCCAGCGGGACCUGGACGAGGCUCUGCCCGCCUUGGACAGCGCCAACGUUGCGCUCAACGCCCUGGACAAGGCGGACAUCUCCGAAAUCCGCGUGUUCACCAAACCGCCCGACAUGGUCAUGACCGUUAUGGAAGCUGUCUGCAUUCUGCUCAACAGCAAACCAGACUGGACCAGCGCUAAGCAGGUGCUGGGCGACUCCUACUUCCUGAAGAAGCUGAUGGACUACGACAAGGAGAACAUCAAGCCGCAGGUCCUGCAGAAGCUGCAGCGCUACGUGAACAACCCUGACUUUGUGCCGGAGAAGGUGGAGAAGGUGUCCAAGGCCUGCCGCUCCAUGUGCAUGUGGGUGCGGGCCAUGGACCUCUACUCCCGCGUCCUGAAGGAAGUGGGGCCCAAAAGGGAGAAGCUGGCUGCCGCACAGGCGGAACUGGAUGUCGUGAUGUCCACUCUCAGAGAGAAGCAGGCCAAGCUCCAGGAGGUGGAGGACCAGAUCAAGGUUCUGCAGGACCAGUUUGACAGCAGCGUGUCGGAGAAAGAGACGCUGGCGAAGACCAUGGCGCUGACGGAGACGCGGCUGGGCCGGGCGGGGAAGCUGACGGCCUCGCUGGGGGACGAGCAGGUGCGCUGGCAGGAGAGCAUCGCCCUGUUCGAGCAGGAGAUCACCAACGUCAUCGGCAACGUCUUCAUCGGCGCCGCGUGCGUGGCCUACUACGGGGCCUUCACCUCGCACUACCGCCAGCUGCUGAUUGACCAGUGGACGUCCCGGUGCCAAGAGCUGGGGAUACCCAUCAGUGACAGCUUCAGCCUCAUCAACAUCCUUGGCGACCCCUACGAGAUCCGCCAGUGGAAUGCAGAAGGGUUGCCCCGGGAUACGGUCUCCACGGAGAAUGGCAUCCUGGUGACUUGCGGUCGCCGGUGGCCGCUCAUGAUUGACCCCCAGGACCAGGCCAACCGCUGGAUCCGCACCAAGGAGACCAAAAACGGGCUGUCGGUGAUCAAGCUGACCGACUCGGGCUUCCUGCGCACGCUGGAGAACGCCAUCCGCCUGGGCCUGCCUGUGCUGCUGGAGGAGCUGAAGGAGACGCUGGACCCGGCGCUGGAGCCCAUCCUGCUGAAGCAGACCUACGUUUCGGGCGGGCGCACGCUCAUUCGCCUGGGAGACUCGGACGUCGACUACGACAAGAACUUCCGCUUCUACAUGACCACCAAAAUGGCCAACCCCCAUUACCUGCCGGAGGUCUGCAUCAAAGUGACCAUCAUAAACUUCACUGUGACCAAGUCAGGGCUGGAGGACCAGCUCCUGAGCGACGUCGUCCGCCUGGAGCGGCCGGACCUGGAGGAGCAGCGCAACGAGCUGAUCGUGUGCAUCAACGCCGACCGCACCCAGCUGAAAGCCAUCGAGGACCGCAUCCUCAAGCUCCUGUUCACCUCCGAGGGAAACAUCCUGGACAACGAGGAGCUGGUCCAGACCCUGCAGGAGUCCAAGGUGACAUCAGGAGCCAUCAAGAGCCGGCUGGAGGAGGCGGAGUCCACAGAGCUGAUGAUUGACGCCGCUCGGGAGAAGUACAGAGCCGUGGCCACACGCGGCUCCAUCAUGUACUUUGUCAUUGCCAGCCUCUCUGAGAUCGACCCCAUGUACCAGUUCUCCCUGAAGUACUUCAAACAGCUGUUUAACACCACCAUCGAGACGUCGGAGAAGAACGACGAGCUGAGCGUGCGUCUGCAGACCCUGCUGGACCAGACGCUGCUCACCUCCUACACCAACGUGUCCCGCGGGCUCUUCGAGCGCCACAAGGCCAUCUACAGCUUCAUGCUGUGCGUGGAGAUCAUGCGCGAGCGGGGGGAGGUGUCCGACGUGGAGUGGCAGUACCUGCUCCGGGGCAGCGUGGGCGUCGACAAGGAACGCGACGGUAAGCCAGACGUCCCCUGGCUGUCGGACGAGGACUGGAAGACCUGCUGUGACCUGGAGGACGUAGUGCCCUGCUUCAAGGGCAUCAAGAAGGAGAUUGUGGCCACGCCCAUCUCCGUCAUGCUGGGGCGUCUGAAGGUCAGUGUGAACCCGGAGUCCUGGGAGGGCUACGUCACUGAGCUGCCCCCCUACUCAGAGGACCCAGAGCAGCAGACCGACCUCAUCCGGGGCCACUGGAACCAGAGGCUGGGCGCCUUUCAGAAGCUCAUCCUCAUCAAGAGCUUCAUGGAGGAAAAGGUGGUGUUUGCCGUGACCGAGUUCGUCAUCGUGGCCUUGGGAAAGCAGUUUGUGGAGAACCCUCCUGUGGACCUGGCCACCCUCUACAGCGACAUGUCCCCCUCCACCCCGCUGGUGUUCAUCCUCAGCACCGGCUCUGACCCCAUGGGGGCCUUCCAGAGGUUCGCCAAGGAGAGAGGCUACAUGAACAGGGUGGAGUCUAUAUCGCUGGGUCAGGGACAGGGUCCUAUAGCAGAGAAGAUGAUCUUGGCCGCGAUGAAGUCAGGGAAUUGGAUCUUCCUGCAGAACUGUCACCUGGCUGUGUCCUGGAUGCUGGCCAUGGAGGAGCUCAUCAAGACCUUUGCUGAGCCUGAUACGGUCAUCCAUGACGACUUCAGGCUGUUUCUCAGUUCCAUGCCCACCCCCGUGUUUCCAGUGACGGUGCUGCAGAACUCCGUUAAGGUGACCAACGAGCCUCCGAAGGGCCUUCGGGCGAACGUGCGGAGAGCCUUCACAGAGAUCACCUGCAGCUUCUUUGAGGAGCACAUUCUGGGGCGGCCGUGGAGGAAGAUCAUCUUCGGGGUGUGCUUCUUCCACGCCAUCAUCCAGGAAAGGAAAAAGUUUGGGCCCCUGGGGUGGAACAUCCGGUACGAGUUUAACGACAGCGACAGGGAGUGCGCUCUGCUCAACCUCAACCUGUACUGCCAGUCCGGCAGCAUCCCCUGGGACGCGCUCAUCUACAUCACAGGGGAGAUCACGUAUGGGGGGCGUGUGACGGACGCUUGGGACCAGCGCUGCCUUCACACCAUCCUCAAGGGCUUUUUCUCUCCACCCACACUGGAGGACGGCUACACUUACUCCAAAUCAGGGAUAUAUUUUGCUCCUGAGGCAGACAGUUUGCAAGAUUACAGGGAGUACAUUGAAAACCUUCCUCUGAUUGAUGACCCUGAGAUCUUUGGAAUGCAUGAGAAUGCCAAUCUGGCUUUCCAGCGGCAGGAGACCAUGACCGUUAUCAACACGAUUCUGGAGGUGCAGCCGAGGUCAUCCGCGCAGGGCGGAGGGAAGAGCAACGAUGAGAUCGUGCACGAGCUCGCCGACGCCAUACUGGCCAAAGUCCCAGUGAAGCUGGACAUGGACCAGGCUAUAGAGAGUCUCUUUCUGAAAGAUGCCAACGGCCGCCUCAACUCGCUCACCACCGUGCUGGGACAGGAAGUGGACCGCUUCAACAACCUGCUCCGAGUGCUGCGGACAUCUCUGUGCACCUUGCAGAAAGCCAUCGCAGGGCUGGUGGUGAUGUCCGAGGAGAUGGAGCGGAUCUACAACAGCUUCCUCAACAACCAGGUGCCCAGCCACUGGGGCAACUCUGCAUACCCCUCCCUGAAGCCUCUGGGCAGCUGGGUGAAAGACCUGUCCCUCCGGACCAGCUUCAUAGAGAGCUGGAUCACAAGGGGUCCGCCUCGGUCCUUCUGGAUCUCUGGAUUUUUCUUUCCCCAAGGCUUUCUCACUGGGGCGUUACAGAACCACGCCCGAGCCUACAACCUGCCCAUCGACGAGCUCAAUUUCCGAUUCAACAUGGUGCCUGUCUAUCGGGACCAGAACGCGGUCUGCGAGGCCCUGAGGACUCUGCCGGACGGCACUGAGCUGGAGAUGGACGCUGAGUUACCCAUUCCUGAGGAUGGAGUGCUGGUCCAUGGCAUGUUCAUGGACGCUAGCCGCUGGGACGAUGACAACAUGGUGAUAGCGGACGCGUUGCCGCGGGUGAUGAACCCCAUGCUGCCGGUGGUGCACUUUGAGCCUCAGCAGAACUACGAGCCGGACGGGUCCCUGUACCACGCCCCGCUGUACAAGACCUCCGCCCGCGCUGGGACUCUGUCCACCACAGGUCACUCAACCAACUUUGUGGUGACUGUCAUGCUGCCCUCCAGUCGGCCCAGUGACUACUGGAUAUCAAAAGCCUCCGCUUUACUCUGUCAGCUUAACGAGUGACACAGCGCUUCUGUACUGCUCAACUUUCUCAAUGUCUCUUGUAAGUUUGCUUUUAUUAAAGUGCGCGUUUUGGUUUUGUGUCUGUUUUUUGUUCUGAAUUCACAUGGUGUACGGUGUAAUGUGUGUUGGUACCUACUGAAGAUAGAGGGGGGGGGGGGGCAGCCAGAAAUGUUCUCUCUCUUGCUCUCUCUCGUUCUCUCUCUCUCUGCUCCAACACCUCCACCGUUCCUCCUCCACUCCUCCGGGGGGCCAGCGCCCCCCUUCUACCCCUCCCGUAACGUUGGCACACUUACCCUUUGAGCCACUCCAGCACCCAAGCUACCCACCUCUUAUUCAGCAAUAUAAAGCGUACAGUGUGAAACAUCCAAGACAAACAUGAAGGGGACCCGGGAAUCGAACCGGGAACCUUGGCAUUGAAAGACAACGGCGAUACCGUUGCGCCACCUACAUCGUCGUAGACACACGGCUGCUUCAGAGGGUAGAAGAAGAUGAGAUCACAGACACCCAAGACACACCUGAAUGAGAUGCAGGAAACGAACACAGAAACGCUUUCAGGUGCGCAUGAUGGUGAUUAGACAUUCCUUGGGGCGGGCGCGGUCUGGAGCCUAUCCAAGCAUGCAGUGAGUGAGAUGCAGGAUUGUACUCUCAACAGGUCUCCAAUCCAUUGCAAGGCAGGCCCACACACCACUUAAGUUUCACUUAACCACCGUGCCAUCCCAAACAUGUUUAUUUCAGAGUGACACACAACAAUAUAAAAUGCAUACAAAUAGUCAUUAGGCACUGGGUGUGAUAGGAGUGGACCAAAGUUGAGCCUAAAAUUGGGCGCAGCAUUAAAAUUGGUGUAUUAAUCCAGUAAUGUUUUCUCAGAUUCAUACCUUUCCACAAUUAAGAUAAUUAAAAAGCUGUCUACAUAAGAACUUCCCUAGUUUGAGUAUUGCCUUAAUCGGGUUCAACUCUGAUUUUAGUGUGCAUGUAUAGCCGAGAUCUGUGUUUUUCUGCGCUUAAAUGGUGAUUAAUGGCAGGUGAGCGGAUGAGAGGCUGCUCUGUUGCGAGUGCGCUUUUUUUCCACAAGAGGGAGCCAAAUCUAUUGACUUGUACCCUGCAAUAAUUCAGCCAGUGCAUUUCUGCAUGAGCUCUUCCUAGUCGUUUAAUACAGAUGCUCCGACUUAAGCUUACAUUUUCCCCAUAGGGAUUUAAUUUUUUGCCGAAAAUAAGGUCUGUGGUUAACGCAAGUCUAGGAGAGGUCCACGUUUUGUUCUACGAGAUAAAUUACAACCAUUAUUAUCACCACCGUGGAUUUCUAAGCUGUUACGUGCUUUUAAUAGCAUGGGAUUUGUAGUCAAUAAGUAGUUGUGAUCGCUAAAUCGGAUCUGACGUUGGACUUCGAAAGGCAAUGUGCUGCACAACAAUGCUCGACCGAAAGGUAAAUGCAUGUUUUGUUGCAAACCAAAGUUAACUGUAAUGGUUGCCAGCUAACUUGAACUUUACUUGGAAAUACACUUCUCUUUGGUGUCCGAUGUUGUCCUUACAUUGCAUCAAUAAAUGAGUAAGCUAGCGAGCUGUGUAGAUAACAUUAACUAGAUAGCCAACCAGCUACUUAACGUAAGCGAACUAGUUUGUUGUAAGCAGCCAUGCCACUCCACUCCUGUUAAUGUGGCUAAUGUUUAAUGCUUCUGGUCACGUCGUGAAGUAUGCAAGUCUUUUGAGAGAGCUUUUUGUUUAAAUCAUUCUCGUUGUAAGCCACUGUCAGUUUAGCUAACUAAACAUGAUGGCAGGCAUGUUUGCUUUCUCUGGCUGUCCCUCUAAUUUAUAUAAAUUGGUUAGCAGGCAUGUUUACAGUGAUGCACUUCAGUUAGCAGCAAUAACUAGCUGGUUUCCUUGGCUGAAUUGAUUGGUCUGAUAUUUUUGUGACUACAGCUUACAGUUAAUGUACGGAUUUGGCUAAAUGUUGCAUCUGUCGUGUCAGGCAUUAUUCCAUCAUGAUGUUCCAGACUUUCCAGAUUUCAUACCGUCUUAUUACUGUGGUCAAAUAUAAGUACUGUACGUAUAGUGUAUGUUGUACGUACAGUAGUGGUCACAACUGACAGCCCUGUUUCGUAGAUUGAAUGGAUGUGAAAUUGUGCCAUUUGUAGAUAUAGAGACUUGUGGAUUGUUAAAUUAAAUAUUUAUAUCUUU